AUGAGGCCAUUGAGUACGACUGAGCUGGCGAGUUGGGACUCGCUGCAAGCUCAAAUUGGAUCGAUUGUCCUGAGUCAGGAAGCUGACAAAGUGUCAUGGGACUUGUCGGCGUCUCGUAAGUUCUCGGUUAAGUCCUUAUACAGCAAGUUGACUGAGGGUACCGCCUUAGAUAUACCUAGGGGGCUAUGGAAGGCUAGGAUUCCGCUAAAGAUUAAAAUAUUCCUUUGGCAAAUGUUUCGUAACAGACUCCCAACAGCGGAUAACGUGGCCAAGCGUAACGGUCCUUCGGACGGGUCCUGUGUGGUGUGUGAAUCGCUAGAGGAUGCGAAUCAUGCACUUUUUCAUUGUGCACUUGCACGUUUUGCCUGGAGUGCGGUGCGCGAGGUGUUCCAACAAAACUGGAACCCGCGAUGGGGGGCUGAGUUGUUGGUAAUACAAUCGCAGAGGGGUGCCAAGGCCAGGGUCUUGUGGAGUUGCGUGGGAGCAUUACUUUGGUUCUUAUGGACAGUGAGAAACAAAAUGACUAUCGAGCACAAGUUCCCGGCUAACCCGACUGAUGUUAUUUUCAAAUGCCAUCUUUUUCUACAGACCUGGACUCCGCUGGUGAAACAAGGUGAUGCUGACCUCAUGAGGAGCACGAUAGAGAAGAUUGCCAGUAGCAUCCCGAGACUGCGUCAAUCAUCUUGA
rnacentral:rRNA from 1 species